GACACUUUGGCCGAGUGGUUAAGGCGCAGGCCUGCUAUACCGGUUUCACUGUAUUAGCUUUCAGCCUGUGGGUUCGCCCUCCUGGGUUCGAAUCCCAGAGGUGUCG
rnacentral:tRNA from 1 species